CCUAUCAUCUUUCUCGCCCCUCAAUCUUCUUUUUUUCGUCUCAUCUAUUUUAUCUUUAUUUGUCAAUCUGAUUGCCUCAUCUAUUUUAUCUUUAUUUGUCAAUGUGAUUGUCUCGUUAUUUUUCCGCGACUAAGAAAGGUUGUGCGGCAAAGAUCUAGGUCGUGUGAUGGAUACAUGUUCCUAAGUCUUCUUGUUAUAAUUGAAGAUGUAACUGCAACAAAUGAAGAUCUUGAAUUUGACAUGGUGAGUGAAACAUUGCAUGAGCAUAAAGUGUGUGGGAGAUUUUCCAACAAGAGUUUUUCAUGGAUCCCCUCAACUCCAUACGCUAAUUUUGACAAUAUGGAUAUUAAUUUUGACGAUAUGAAUAUUGAAUUUUUUUGUUGAUGAAAUAUUUAUAUAAUUGGACUUGUUAAUACCAUACUAUUGAACUUUUAUCUGCAACAUGCAUUUGACGUGGGAGUUAGUACCCUUUUUGAAAAUGUUGGGGACAACGUCGCAAAAUAUGUUAUUGGUAAGUAUAAGUUGUGUUUUU